rnacentral:misc_RNA from 1 species
AGUACAACCUUGGCUAUCUCUGA